GGACGGAUUGUUAUGGCUGCUUGGUAUUUCACAUUGCGCUUCUAAGACAAACUUCCUUUGAGGUGAAACGCACAAACAUUUCGUGCCGAUGUCGACACAUCUUGGUCGUCGCCUACAAAAGUCGUCAUGUUCAGCAAGAACGUCGUCAAUAAUCUAAAAUUAUAAAAUUGUCCUCAAUUUGAUGCUACACUUGUGGGUUCCACAGAGUAUUAAAAAAUCGUCGAUACAGCAUCCUUCUUAAGGCGAAGCCGUCCUACUGAUUGCAUCGCUUCAAAAUUUUGCACGAAGCACGAACUCUCGAAAUGUUGCGAGCACAAUAUUGAGCUCUUUGUUGCCUUCAAAUUUUUGCGUCGGAUUUUUUCAAUCCAAAUAUCUCGCUUGCGCUUGUUUUCGGGAAA